AUACGUAGGGAGCAAGCGUUAUCCGGAUUUACUGGGUGUAAAGGGCGCGUAGGCGGGGAUGCAAGUCAGAUGUGAAAUCUGGGGGCUCAACCCCCAAACUGCAUUUGAAACUGUAUUUCUUGAGUGAUGGAGAGGCAAGCGGAAUUCCUAGUGUAGCGGUGAAAUGCGUAGAUAUUAGGAGGAACACCAGUGGCGAAGGCGGCUUGCUGGACAUUAACUGACGCUGAGGCGCGAAAGCGUGGGGAGCAAACAGGAUUAGAUACCCUGGUAGUCCACGCUGUAAACGAUGAAUACUAGGUGUGGGGGGACUGACCCUCUCCGUGCCGGAGUUAACACAAUAAGUAUUCCACCUGGGAAGUACGAUCGCAAGAUUGAA
rnacentral:rRNA from 1 species